AUUGAACGCUGGCGGCAGGCCUAACACAUGCAAGUCGAGCGGCAGCACGGGUACUUGUACCUGGUGGCGAGCGGCGGACGGGUGAGUAAUGCCUAGGAAUCUGCCUAGUAGUGGGGGAUAACGUCCGGAAACGGGCGCUAAUACCGCAUACGUCCUACGGGAGAAAGUGGGGGAUCUUCGGACCUCACGCU
rnacentral:rRNA from 1 species